rnacentral:rRNA from 1 species
GAUCCAGCAAUGCCGCGUGCGUGAUGAAGGCCCUCGGGUUGUAAACUGCUUUUUGUCGGAACGAAAAGCCUGUAGCUAAUAUCCUCGGGUCAUGACGGUACCGUCAGAAUAAGCACCGCUAACUUACGUGCCAGCAGCCCGGUAAUACGUAGGGGUGCAAGCGUUUAUCGGAAUUUCUGGGGCGUAAAAGCGUGCGCAAGCGGUUUUUGUAAGACAGUUGUGAAAACCCCCGGGCUCACCCUGGGAACUCCAUUGUGACUGCAAGCUAGAUGCGGCAGAGGGGGAUGAAUUUCCCCGUGUACAAUGAAAUGCGUAGAUUUGCGAGG